UACGUAGGGGGCUAGCGUUGUCCGGAUUUAUUGGGCGUAAAGAGCGUGUAGGCGGCCAGGUAGGUCUGCUGUGAAAACUCGAGGCUCAACCUCGAGACGUCGGCGGAAACCAUCUGGCUAGAGUCCGGAAGAGGAGAGUGGAAUUCCUGGUGUAGCGGUGAAAUGCGCAGAUAUCAGGAAGAACACCCGUGGCGAAGGCGGCUCUCUGGGACGGUACUGACGCUGAGACGCGAAAGCUAGGGGAGCAAACAGG
rnacentral:rRNA from 1 species